rnacentral:rRNA from 1 species
UACGUAGGGUGCAAGCGUUGUCCGGAAUUAUUGGGCGUAAAGAGCGUGUAGGCGGCUAUACAGGUCCGCUGUGAAAACUCGAGGCUCAACCUCGAGACGUCGGUGGAAACCGUAUGGCUAGAGUCCGGAAGAGGAGAGUGGAAUUCCUGGUGUAGCGGUGAAAUGCGCAGAUAUCAGGAAGAACACCCGUGGCGAAGGCGGCUCUCUGGGACGGUACUGACGCUGAGACGCGAAAGCGUGGGGAGCGAACAGG